AGUUAACGUUGGCGGCGUGCCUAACACAUGCAAGUCGAACGCGUCCUAAGGGCAACUUUAGGAUGAGUGGCGAACGGGUGAGUAUCACGUGGGUAAUCUUCCUUCAAGUGGGGAAUAAGCUCUCGAAAGGGAGUCUAAUACCGCAUGACAUUCCGGGACACAAGUCCCGUAAUCAAAGCCGCAAGGCGCUUGAAGAUGAGCCUGCGUCCUAUUAGCUAGUUGGUGGGGUAACGGCCUACCAAGGCUUAGAUGGGUAGCCGGCCUGAGAGGGUGAACGGCCACACUGGGACUGAGACACGGCCCAGACUCCUACGGGAGGCAGCAGUGAGGAAUUUUGCGCAAUGGGGGAAACCCUGACGCAGCGACGCCGCGUGGAGGAUGAAGGCCUUCGGGUCGUAAACUCCUGUCAGAGGUGAAGAAUACCGCAAGGUUGACGGUAACCUCAGAGGAGCCCGGCUAACUACGUGCCAGCAGCCGCGGUAAAGUCGACGUCG
rnacentral:rRNA from 1 species